GACGAACGCUGGCAGCGUGCUUAACACAUGCAAGUCGAGCGGUAAGGCCCUUUCGGGGGUACACGAGCGGCGAACGGGUGAGUAACACGUGGGUGACCUGCCCUCAGCUCUGGGAUAAGCCUGGGAAACUGGGUCUAAUACUGGAUAUGACUCCACGGUGCAUGUCGUGGGGUGGAAAGCCUUGUGCGGCUGAGGAUGGGCCCGCGGCCUAUCAGCUUGUUGGUGGGGNGAUGGCCUACCAAGGCGACGACGGGUAGCCGGCCUGAGAGGGCGACCGGCCACACUGGGACUGAGACACGGCCCAGACUCCUACGGGAGGCAGCAGUGGGGAAUCUUGCGCAAUGGGCGAAAGCCUGACGCAGCGACGCCGCGUGAGGGAUGACGGCC
rnacentral:rRNA from 1 species